rnacentral:rRNA from 1 species
UACGUAGGGUGCAAGCGUUGUCCGGAAUUAUUGGGCGUAAAGAGCUCGUAGGCGGUUUGUCGCGUCUGCUGUGAAAACUCGGGGCUUAACUCCGGGCCUGCAGUGGGUACGGGCAGACUAGAGUGCGGUAGGGGAGACUGGAAUUCCUGGUGUAGCGGUGAAAUGCGCAGAUAUCAGGAGGAACACCGGUGGCGAAGGCGGGUCUUUGGUCUGUAACUGACGCUGAGGCGCGAAAGCGUGGGGAUCAAACAGG